GGAAGUGGCUCAGGGGUAGAGCAUCGCCUUGCCAAGGCGAGGGUCGCAGGUUCGACUCCCGUCAGCUCCGCCA
rnacentral:tRNA from 1 species